ACGAGUGGAAAAUUGUUUGCAUUCAACUAGACGUGGGUUAACACAUAGUUAUCAAAUUUUCCCAUCCUUGUUUGACAAUACUACACAACCAGUCGACCAUCUUUCAGGAGCUACCAGUGGAGAUGAGUUAACACAAAGGGAUCGAAUUUACCAGGAGCAGACUAAGGAAGUGAUCCUCUCUACUGACCUUCAUUACUGAUCUUCAUUAUAGAAACAACCAGUCAAAAACAUUUCAGUGUUAACUGGAAAGGCGUUUACACAAAGUGAUGGAGUAAUUUGCCCGAAGGAUCUUAAU